AGAGUUUGAUCAUGGCUCAGGACGAACGCUGGCGGCGUGCCUAAUACAUGCAAGUCGAGCGAGCGGAACCAACAGAUUUACUUCGGUAAUGACGUUGGGAAAGCGAGCGGCGGAUGGGUGAGUAACACGUGGGGAACCUGCCCCUAAGUCUGGGAUACCAUUUGGAAACAGGUGCUAAUACCGGAUAAUAAAGCAGAUCGCAUGAUCAGCUUUUGAAAGGCGGCGUAAGCUGUCGCUAAGGGAUGGCCCCGCGGUGCAUUAGCUAGUUGGUAAGGUAACGGCUUACCAAGGCGACGAUGCAUAGCCGAGUUGAGAGACUGAUCGGCCACAUUGGGACUGAGACACGGCCCAAACUCCUACGGGAGGCAGCAGUAGGGAAUCUUCCACAAUGGACGCAAGUCUGAUGGAGCAACGCCGCGUGAGUGAAGAAGGUUUUCGGAUCGUAAAGCUCUGUUGUUGGUGAAGAAGGAUAGAGGUAGUAACUGGCCUUUAUUUGACGGUAAUCAACCAGAAAGUCACGGCUAACUACGUGCCAGCAGCCGCGGUAAUACGUAGGUGGCAAGCGUUGUCCGGAUUUAUUGGGCGUAAAGCGAGCGCAGGCGGAAAAAUAAGUCUAAUGUGAAAGCCCUCGGCUUAACCGAGGAACUGCAUCGGAAACUGUUUUUCUUGAGUGCAGAAGAGGAGAGUGGAACUCCAUGUGUAGCGGUGGAAUGCGUAGAUAUAUGGAAGAACACCAGUGGCGAAGGCGGCUCUCUGGUCUGCAACUGACGCUGAGGCUCGAAAGCAUGGGUAGCGAACAGGAUUAGAUACCCUGGUAGUCCAUGCCGUAAA
rnacentral:rRNA from 1 species